GCCGGGGUAACUCAGACUGGUAGAGUGCCACGCUCAUAACGUGGAAGUCGUGGGUUCGAAGCCCAUCCCCGGCA
rnacentral:tRNA from 1 species